UUGAGAAAUAGUUUUUUUUUUGAGAAAUAGUAGAAUGGGGUUUGGGGGACUUGGAGAAGCAGCGUAGCGAGAGUGGGCCUGCUCGAGAAAUCUCAGCCCAUUGCCAUUGAGAUGGCUCGGCUCGGCCCGGCCCGGCAGGGCCCACCUUCGUGCCUCUCUCUCGCGCGCGGUCGCGCCUGCUGCGCUGCUGCCACUCCUGCGGCUGCGCCUCCCCCCCACCACCGCCCACCAGCCGUCGGGCGAGGGGGCCCCGCGCGGCUCGCCUGCCGUCUCGCCUCCGGGCACGACCGUGCCACCAUGGUGGUGGCCCUUUUCUGAAGCAUGUGACCGGUGGCGGUGCAGUGGGUUCGGCAUAGUAUUAUUGCAGAUGAUUGCCAAUGCGCAGAAUGAUGAGAUCAUAGCUCCUGUGCUUGAUGAACUGCUACUACUUGAGAAUACUACUGCCAAUAAAGGGGGGUUGUGCGAUUCAGCAGUGAUUUGAACCCCUCUAAUCGGUCCCAGUGUCCAUGUGUAUGCAAGCGUUUCUGGCUGCCUGAUGGAGGAAGUUACCGGAAGAUAGAUAAACUCAUGCGCCAUAUUGUUAUGCAUGAGCAGGAGUUCUGAGAUAUCUAGCAUGUUUCAAAUCUAGACAGAUAGACAUUGACCUGUAAAUUCUACCAGAACAAGGCAACAUUUGAUGGCACAAGCUUGAUGCCUUGAUCACGCUCAUUUUCUCUGCAGGAAGGACGAUGGCACUAUAUAUGCUCUUGGAGAAAGUGGAGAUCGGCCAUUGAUAGGUCUAAGAUUUCAUGUGCAGGCAUAAAGAAAGAGCUGAAUUGUACUGCGACAUCAGAACAUAUGGCACUAGUUAAUUACGGGGGCACGCGCUGCGAUGCCUGAACAUAUUGUACUUUAACAUCAGACCAUAGAUGGGAGAGGAAACACCUGGGGAAGGGCAGCAUAGAGGAGUAUAUCAAAAGUAGAGCAGCAGACGCACUUGCUGCUGUACUUGGAGGGCAUAUACAAUACGCCGUGGCACGAGGGGAGCAUCAGUGCAGCUAGCUUGAUCUCUCCUUUUAAGGGCUUCCUUUCUUCCAGGCCACCAUCACCACACCAGCAUGUGAAAAGGCUAUUAUUGCCCUGAAUUUGCAGAUACCCAAACAUGUAUUGUCAGGUCAGUUCCUCCCCCUCCCUAUGUUAAACCUGCACUAUGUUGAUGGUGUAAGAUGUUGCUAGUCGUAAUGCUAAGUGCAUCGGUGUGUCCAAUAUUC